rnacentral:rRNA from 1 species
GGGUUGUGAGGUUAAGCGACCAAGCGUACACGGUGGAUGCCCUGGCAGUCAGAGGCGAUGAAGGACGUGCUAAUCUGCGAAAAGCGCCGGCGAGGUGAUAUGAACCCUUGACCCGGCGAUGUCCGAAUGGGGAAACCCAGUGUGAUUCGUCACACUAUCGUUAGCUGAAUACAUAGGCUAACGAGGCGAACCGGGGGAACUGAAACAUCUAAGUACCCGAGGAAAAGAAAUCAACCGAGAUUCCCCCAGUAGCGGCGAGCGAACGGGGAGGAGCCCAGAGCCUGAAUCAGCUUGUGUGUUAGUGGAAGCGUCUGGAAAGUCGCACGGUACAGGGUGAAAGUCCCGUACACGAAAACGCACAGGCUGUGAGCUCGAUGAGUAGGGCGGGACACGUGGUAUCCUGUCUGAAUAUGGGGGGACCAUCCUCCAAGGCUAAAUACUCCUGACUGACCGAUAGUGAACCAGUACCGUGAGGGAAAGGCGAAAAGAACCCCGGCGAGGGGAGUGAAAAAGAACCUGAAACCGUGUACGUACAAGCAGUGGGAGCCUCUUUUAUGGGGUGACUGCGUACCUUUUGUAUAAUGGGUCAGCGACUUAUAUUCUGUAGCAAGGUUAACCGUAUAGGGGAGCCGAAGGGAAACCGAGUCUUAACUGGGCGUUAAGUUGCAGGGUAUAGACCCGAAACCCGGUGAUCUAGCCAUGGGCAGGUUGAAGGUUGGGUAACACUAACUGGAGGACCGAACCGACUAAUGUUGAAAAAUUAGCGGAUGACCUGUGGCUGGGGGUGAAAGGCCAAUCAAACCGGGAGAUAGCUGGUUCUCCCCGAAAGCUAUUUAGGUAGCGCCUCGUGAAUUCAUCUCCGGGGGUAGAGCACUGUUUCGGCUAGGGGGCCAUCCCGGCUUACCAACCCGAUGCAAACUGCGAAUACCGGAGAAUGUUAUCACGGGAGACACACGGCGGGUGCUAACGUCCGUCGUGAAGAGGGAAACAACCCAGACCGCCAGCUAAGGUCCCAAAGUCAUGGUUAAGUGGGAAACGAUGUGGGAAGGCCCAGACAGCCAGGAUGUUGGCUUAGAAGCAGCCAUCAUUUAAAGAAAGCGUAAUAGCUCACUGGUCGAGUCGGCCUGCGCGGAAGAUGUAACGGGGCUAAACCAUGCACCGAAGCUGCGGCAGCGACGCUUAUGCGUUGUUGGGUAGGGGAGCGUUCUGUAAGCCGUUGAAGGUGUGCUGUGAGGCAUGCUGGAGGUAUCAGAAGUGCGAAUGCUGACAUAAGUAACGAUAAAGCGGGUGAAAAGCCCGCUCGCCGGAAGACCAAGGGUUCCUGUCCAACGUUAAUCGGGGCAGGGUGAGUCGACCCCUAAGGCGAGGCCGAAAGGCGUAGUCGAUGGGAAACAGGUUAAUAUUCCUGUACUUGGUGUUACUGCGAAGGGGGGACGGAGAAGGCUAUGUCGGCCGGGCGACGGUUGUCCCGGUUUAAGCAUGUAGGCGGAGGUUCCAGGUAAAUCCGGUACCUUAUUAAACGCUGAGGUGUGAUGACGAGGCACUACGGUGCUGAAGUGACAAAUGCCCUGCUUCCAGGAAAAGCCUCUAAGCAUCAGGUAACACGAAAUCGUACCCCAAACCGACACAGGUGGUCAGGUAGAGAAUACCAAGGCGCUUGAGAGAACUCGGGUGAAGGAACUAGGCAAAAUGGUGCCGUAACUUCGGGAGAAGGCACGCUGAUAUGUAGGUGAAGUGGUUUACCCAUGGAGCUGAAAUCAGUCGAAGAUACCAGCUGGCUGCAACUGUUUAUUAAAAACACAGCACUGUGCAAACACGAAAGUGGACGUAUACGGUGUGACGCCUGCCCGGUGCCGGAAGGUUAAUUGAUGGGGUUAUCCCUCGGGAGAAGCUCUUGAUCGAAGCCCCGGUAAACGGCGGCCGUAACUAUAACGGUCCUAAGGUAGCGAAAUUCCUUGUCGGGUAAGUUCCGACCUGCACGAAUGGCGUAAUGAUGGCCAGGCUGUCUCCACCCGAGACUCAGUGAAAUUGAACUCGCUGUGAAGAUGCAGUGUACCCGCGGCAAGACGGAAAGACCCCGUGAACCUUUACUAUAGCUUGACACUGAACACUGGUCCUUGAUGUGUAGGAUAGGUGGGAGGCUUUGAAGUGUGGACGCCAGUCUGCAUGGAGCCGCCCUUGAAAUACCACCCUUUAAUGGCUGGUGUUCUAACGUGGGCCCGUAAUCCGGGUUGCGGACAGUGUCUGGUGGGUAGUUUGACUGGGGCGGUCUCCUCCUAAAGAGUAACGGAGGAGCACGAAGGUCAGCUAAUCCUGGUCGGACAUCAGGAGGUUAGUGCAAUGGCAUAAGCUGGCUUGACUGCGAGCGUGACGGCGCGAGCAGGUGCGAAAGCAGGUCAUAGUGAUCCGGUGGUUCUGAAUGGAAGGGCCAUCGCUCAACGGAUAAAAGGUACUCCGGGGAUAACAGGCUGAUACCGCCCAAGAGUUCAUAUCGACGGCGGUGUUUGGCACCUCGAUGUCGGCUCAUCACAUCCUGGGGCUGAAGUAGGUCCCAAGGGUAUGGCUGUUCGCCAUUUAAAGUGGUACGCGAGCUGGGUUUAGAACGUCGUGAGACAGUUCGGUCCCUAUCUGCCGUGGGCGCUGGAGAACUGAGGGGGGCUGCUCCUAGUACGAGAGGACCGGAGUGGACGCAUCACUGGUGUUCGGGUUGUCAUGCCAAUGGCACUGCCCGGUAGCUAAAUGCGGAAGAGAUAAGUGCUGAAAGCAUCUAAGCACGAAACUUGCCCCGAGAUGAGUUCUCCCUGACUCCUUGAGAGUCCUGAAGGAACGUUGAAGACGACGACGUUGAUAGGCCGGGUGUGUAAGCGCAGCGAUGCGUUGAGCUAACCGGUACUAAUGAACCGUGAGGCUUAACCUUACAACGCCGAAG